rnacentral:ncRNA from 1 species
GCCCAGGCGGAGCUCGACCGCAAACCCAAGUAAUGGUUGAUUUUAUUGACGAUCACAAACAACAAUAUGGAGUCGAGCCAAUCUGUAGAGUAUUACCGAUUGCCCC